UACGUAGGGGGCAAGCGUUGUCCGGAAUCAUUGGGCGUAAAGCGCGCGUAGGCGGCCCGGUAAGUCCGUUGUGAAAGUCAAAGGCUCAACCUUUGAACGCCGAUGGAUACUGCCGGGCUAGAGUCCGGAAGAGGCGAGUGGAAUUCCUGGUGUAGCGGUGGAAUGCGCAGAUAUCAGGAGGAACACCGGUGGCGAAGGCGGUUCUCUGGGCAUUACUUGACGCGGAGGAGCGAAAGUGUGGGGAGCGAACAGG
rnacentral:rRNA from 1 species